AUUCCACCAAAGGAGAAAACACCAAGGAUCCGCUUUCAGUCACUUGGAGAAGCACUAAUCAAUGACAAAGAAGAACCUCUGUUCCUGUGAAUUUCAAAUGCAUCCACAUCAAAACUAAUAGUCAAAACAAAAACCCAAGGAUGAGAACAUUGAGGCCCAGAAACAUUGAGUAACUUACCCAUGACCAGUUGUUGUAUAAACUCCAGCCAUACGCAGUGAUCACCUUAGUUUUAUAACAGUAGAG
rnacentral:lncRNA from 1 species